UACGAAGGGGGCUAGCGUUGCUCGGAAUCACUGGGCGUAAAGCGCACGUAGGCGGCUUCUUAAGUCAGGGGUGAAAUCCUGGAGCUCAACCCCAGAACUGCCUUUGAUACUGAGGAGCUUGAGUCCGGGAGAGGUGAGUGGAACUGCGAGUGUAGAGGUGAAAUUCGUAGAUAUUCGCAAGAACACCAGUGGCGAAGGCGGCUCACUGGCCCGGUACUGACGCUGAGGUGCGAAAGCGUGGGGAGCAAACAGG
rnacentral:rRNA from 1 species